rnacentral:lncRNA from 1 species
UCAGUAAUGUUGAUUUUAGUACAAUCUUUCCCCAUUAUAUCAGUUUUUCAAACAACCAUAUGUCCCUAUCUUCAAUAUAUAUUCUUUUGUGCAUUCUUGUAUGCAUAUUUAUACCGUAGAUGGGAAUGCAUGUAGGCUCAUGCACACUAGAGAGAGAGAGAGAAAGAGAUACUCAUCUCUGAACCACGAUGUGUUGAUAGAAAGAAGCAAUGAACUGCAAUGAAAUAAUAAUGAGACAUUGUAAGUUGACCCCAUAUUGAUAAAUAAAUUAUGCCCACGUUUGGUGGGGAUUAAAAUGAAAUAGUAAUGAGACAUUGUAAGUUGAUCCCA